rnacentral:rRNA from 1 species
AACGAACGCUGGCGGCAGGCUUAACACAUGCAAGUCGAACGGGCCCUUCGGGGUCAGUGGCAGACGGGUGAGUAACACGUGGGAACGUGCCCUUCAGUUCGGAAUAACCCAGGGAAACUUGGGCUAAUACCGGAUACGCCCUUUUGGGGAAAGAUUUAUCGCUGAAGGAUCGGCCCGCGUCUGAUUAGCUAGUUGGUGGGGUAAAGGCUCACCAAGGCGACGAUCAGUAGUUGGUCUGAGAGGAUGAUCAGCCACACUGGGACUGAGACACGGCCCAGACUCCUACGGGAGGCAGCAGUGGGGAAUAUUGGACAAUGGGCGCAAGCCUGAUCCAGCCAUGCCGCGUGAGUGAUGAAGGCCUUAGGGUUGUAAAGCUCUUUCGGCGGGGACGAUAAUGACGGUACCCGCAGAAGAAACCCCGGCUAAUUUCGUGCCAGCAGCCGCCGUAAUAC